rnacentral:RNase_P_RNA from 1 species
UGAGUUGGCCAAGACAAUCGCUGCCUGCGCAAGCAGGGGGAGGAAAGUCCGGGCUCCACAGGGCAGGGUGCCAGGUAACGCCUGGGGGGCGUGAGCCUACGACCAGUGCAACAGAGAGCAAACCGCCGAUGGCCCAUUGUUCGCAAGAGCAGUGGGAUCAGGUAAGGGUGAAAGGGUGCGGUAAGAGCGCACCGCGCGGCUGGUAACAGUUCGUGGCACGGUAAACUCCACCCGGAGCAAGACCAAAUAGGCCCCCAUUGGCGCGGCCCGCGUUGGGGGCGGGUAGGUUGCUUGAGGCGUGCGGUGACGUACGUCCUAGAGGAAUGAUUGUCGCUCUGGCAACAGAGAACAGAACCCGGCUUAACGGCUGGCUCACACC